ACCGGAUAUGCGCAGAGGAUCGGACGACGGGCAAACAAAGUUGAGAAAACCUCAAGAAGGCAGCAGGUGACGGUCACAGAAAAGAAGGAAGUUCGCACGUGUCGUGUUUGCAUCGGGAGUUCACAGAAAUUCCGAUUUGCCUCGCCGCGUUUGGAGAAACGCCGCUUUCCUUUCUCCCCAAAUUUCCUUCUCUAGGGUUUCUCUUAAACCCGCCCGACGCCAUAUCCUUCGUCUUCCUUCUCUCAACCCUUCUCCCGCACACCCUCGCCGCUACGGUUAGUGUCAACAUUACACUCUUUCUAUACGGGGACUGGUAAGGAAUUAUUGCAUUACGGAGAUGGGAGCACUUGCCCCUAUCGCGCCUUGGAGCCCUGAAGAUGAUAUUCUGCUCAAGAACGCCGUCGAGGCGAGUGCUUCCUUGGAGGCCCUUGCCAAAGGUGCUGUGCAGUUUUCUCGAAGAUACACAGUAAGAGAAUUGCAAGAACGAUGGCAUUCUUUACUUUAUGAUCCAAUUGUAUCUGAAGAUGCAUCUAUGUCCAUGAUUGAUGUUGAGCGUUCUUCUUCCAUUCUUCCAUCAAAGUUCAACAAGUUUGGGAAUUCAAAAGAAAAUAAAUGUAUUGGUGGGAAGAGGAAAUCUGGCAGUGUGCGGCAUUGCUAUUAUGCUUUGCGUAAAAGAAUUUGCAAUGAACCCUUUAAUCCUAUGGGCCCGAGUUAUCUUGUUGGUGAUAGUGACUAUGUCACUGAAGAGCCUAUGUCAGGAAAUUGCAUCCCUCCAACAUCAGAUGAUUUUGGUCUUCAGAGCUCAGAGCUGGGCACCUUGCCCUGUAAUUUUUCCCAAAAUGCGAUGAAUAAUGACGAUACUGAGCACACUUUUCAUUCUGGAUGUCAACAUACUGUUGAGCAUUUUCCUCAGAACCUGGAUAAUGGACAUGAGGGAAUUUCUCACGUUAUGGUAGAUAAUCUGCCUUUCGCCAAUGAAUCUCAUGCUAAGGAAUUGGCUCCAUCAGCUAGCUUUCCAGUCCAUAACCUCUUUGAAAAUGAUUUGGAGGCGGGACCUUCUACGUUUGGGCAACUGAGCACUGAUCAGAGAGUGAUGGGCUCUGAACCAGAAGACAACGAUGUCUUCAAUUCUCCUGUUUCUGAUUCUGGUGCAUCUUUUCAUAAUGUCGAGUACUCAUCUCCUCUUCCUGGCAUGCCAAUAUGGAGAGAUGCUUCGUCAGCCUUGCCAAUUGAUGUUGGCUUUGCAGAUAAGGAUGUGCCUACAGGAGACUCUUUUGAACUCCCUGAUGAUGAUGGGAACAACAACAUUCAAAAUGCAAGAUUAGCGGGCUAUGAGGCUCACUCUAACUCAAAGUUGAAGAUUGAAGUGCAGCAUGAUCAUUUGAAAAGUCCAAAUGCCACUGCUGAAGGUUGUUAUUUAGUGGAACUGUCCAAUACUGUUUUGAACACGAGCAAUGAGGAUGAACUGUUUUUCAUGGAUGUUGAUGGGCUGUCACUUUUGUUGAGUUCACCAAAUGAAGUCAAUCACGAUCAAACAGGCAAUGCAAUUUAUUCAGAAACAGUGUUACCAACGGAUACAAUGUUAGAUCCCCCCUCUGCAUGUUCUGGAGAGUUGUAUGAAAAGGGAUCCCACUGUAGCGAUGGACAUUUGGAUUGUAGUUCAGAAGCUCAUCCAUCACCAUCUACAUCUUUGAACAGUCAAUGUCCUGGAAAAAUUGAUGAACCUCUUUUCUGUACUUUGAACACAGAAGAUCCAGAAAUCCCUAGCAAUGACGAUGUUUUUCUACCUCCAUUGUCAACAAUUGCUACUAUGGGAUACCAUUUUAAUGAUUGCAUGGGUCCUACUUUUUCAUCUACUAGUGAUUUCUCUUGUAAAGAAAACUCUGGUGAAAUGACUCAAAACCUUGUGCAAAGGGAGAGGAAAAAUCAUGAUGGACAACCUCAUGUUUCAACCAUAUCAAUGGGAUUGCAUUGUUUGCCUGAAAGAGGUGAAAAACAUCUGAUUAGUGGAGAUGGUGUUAAUUUAAAAUUAUCCCAUAGCAACUCCAUACACGUGCCAUCUGCAAAUAAAACCAGCUCCAUAAAUGUAAAUGACGAUACCAUCCUACCUGUCACUCUCAUGGAAGAGAACAAUGAAAUUUCCCUGGAACCAAAUACAUCGACUUCAGUGAAAGAUCAUCGAUUAUCACGAGAAGUGGGUGUUCAAGGUGUUUUCGGUGUAGAACAAGAUGGAAUGUAUUCGACAUCUGAUCAUGAAGAGUUAUUUAUUGAUAGUGAAGAUGAUUUACCUCAUUUUUCAGAUAUUGAGGCUAUGAUACUUGAUAUGGACUUGGAUCCAGAAGAUCAAGAUCUGUAUCCAAAUGAAGAAGUCUUAAAAUAUCAACAUAUAGACACCAGGAAGAGAAUCAUCAGACUGGAGCAAGGGAUUAAUGCUUGUAUGCAAAGAUCUAUUGCCUCUCAUGGGGCAUUAGCAGUUCUUUGUGGCCGACAUUCGAAGCAUUACAUUAAGAAAUCAGAGGUUCUGCUGGGUAGAGCAACUGCAGAAUUCAUUGUAGACAUUGACUUGGGAAGUGAGGGAAGCGGUAACAAAAUAUCUCGACGGCAGGCAAUUAUAAAAAUAGAUCAGGAUGGAUUUUUCUCCCUGAAGAAUCUUGGCAAGUGCUCAAUCUCCAUAAAUAACAAGGAUGUGGCCCCUGGUCACUGCCUGCGACUUAAUUCUGGUUGCUUGAUUGAGAUUAGGGGAAUGGCAUUUAUAUUUGAGUCAAACCCAGUUCGUAUGAAGCAGUAUGUAGAUAACGUAGGCAAGACAUCUCACAAACAGGAGUAUCAAUCAUAAUGAUAGAUGGCAACGUAGCUGGCAUGGACUGUUGUACAGUCGGAAGGUGCUCAUGUUUCUGCACUUUCUUCUGGUUCUUUAGGUAUGCUUGCUGUGUUAAGUUGUUAUCUAGCAUGCGAUUAGAAAUGUAAAUUCUAUUAGUUUCAGUAAUUCCAGUAGUUAUUUCGUAAAUUGCUUUGUGAUUCAACGUUUUACUUCUCAAUGAGGUUUUAUUGGAUUGCUAAAGAUGGGAAACAAUAGCAACAACACGUUUGUGGAAAGAUUAUUUCGAGAAGUAACAUCAGCGAGGAGUUGUCCAACCAAAUUGCGAAGAUAUAGCCUAGGUGAUGUAUUUGUAGAGGGAGUUGAGGUUGCAACAUUUGACAGCCAAUUUCAUCUAGAGGCGUAGUGAGAAGGGGAAAGAACAGUAGAGUGAAGGAUAUCUGACAAAUUCAAUACAAAAGAAACUGCAGGUUGGGACAAUCUAAUCACGAUUUCAACUCAGGACAGCUACAAAACGAGGCAGUGGCUGAUGUCUGAUGUGUUGGAUUGAGAGACUCACCGACCUGUCCAAACUGAUAAAAGCCUUAUCCAUCUGAUUCUGAACUGAAAUCGGGAAUUUAUUGCAAUACUUUGUUGUUGUCGAGAAAGGGGAUGAAUCUUCUUGGUACCUGCGCUGUUUUGAUUUUCUGCUCUUCCAAGUUGGUAGCCACUUAUUUUGAUUUGUCAUUCUCUUACUACUGACAUUUUAUCAAUUAAUUUAUAUCUCUAUAUGUAAGAAAUUAUUGAAUGAAUAGAAGAUAUAAGUUGUUCGGAAUAUAUUAUAAUUGUGGCUAGGGUGAUGGUUCUCGUUCCUUAGAGUGGGUCCUCCUGGAGUUUGUAGGCAGAUCUAAACGAUCUUGUCUGGACAAAGAGAUGAAUGGCCAUGUAAUAAUAGUGCUGUCUCCAUGAA